GCAAGAUACUAGCUCAUAGUGGCUUUGGCUGGGAUUGGGAGAAUAACAAGCUGUCAAUCGACAGUGAGGAUGUGUGGUCUAAAUAUGUGGAGGCUAACAAGGCAGCAGGUAGCCACAAGACCAAGGUAGUGAUGAAUUGGGACCAAAUCAGCACCAUCUAUUCAAAAGACCAUGCAACCGGUGAAGGUGCCAAGACAGCAGCUGAGUGU